rnacentral:lncRNA from 1 species
UGAUAAGGAGAUACAGUUAAUUGAGAAAAGUUGAUGGCCCAUUUUUUGGGUUUUGUUUUACAGAUGUAAUUGAUAUACAAAAAACUGUACAUAUUUAGUGAAUACAAUUUGAUGAAUUUGGAGAUAGGCAUCCACCUGCGAUAUCAUCUCCACAUUGAAGGGAAUAGACAUAUCCAUCACCUCAAGUUUCCCGUGUCCCUUUUCUGUGUGUGUCUGUGACAAGAACACUUAACAUGAGAUCUACCCUCUUCAGAAAUUUGCUGCACGCAGAGCAUUCUUCUAGUUUCCUGACACCUUCGGCCACCCUGCUGAAAUUCCAAGAAGCCGACUCUGCAUUUCUAGGUGACCGGGUCCAGCGGGGCCAGGCUGGCCCACCCACCCAGCCUCUGGUGCUGCUUCCCCUUUGGUUUCACCGGCUGAGGGGCCAGGAUGACACAGGUGCCAGGGACACCAACCACAUCUGAAAGACUUUCUUAACCAGCCUUCAAGUGCCUGGGUCGUGACCCCCUCAGCAGGAGAAGAUCUUGCUCCCCACCCACCAGGAACCACAGACCCCUCAGUCUCACAAAUGGCAGUUUGUCCUUCUGUCCAUCAAGGCCUGGCGUUGUCUGCCUCCUGGGAACCUCAGCAUCCUCCCGGAGGAGAUGUCACUACAUACCCAGCCCCACUGCCUCUCUUCCAGUAAUUUUCCCUGCUUCUUUUACUCAUAGUCUAACAAACCUGUAUUUCACCGUACCAUGUGCUAGACAGGGCAUGGUACCCGGGCUACAGGUCAGAAGAGAGUGACUUGCCCCCGUGGUGUUCGUUUUGUAUAGAAAUGCCAGACUGAAGGCCCCCAGGGACCUGUGGCUCUGAGUGGCCUUAAGAAAGCCCAGGCAGGCCAAGAGUUCUCCCCAGCUGACAUCACAGACCCUGAGGGCCUGGGCCAUGAAAACUGUGGUUUUCCUUCACGGUCCUUGACCCCAAUUUAUGUUGUUCCUUACAGAGGGGACAGGCACCACUGUGGCAGGAGGGCAGGACAAAAUGAAAGACCUCAGACUUGCUCCCAAGAACGAAAAGAGGAGAAAUCGAAAACAUAAUUCUGUAGCUGCAGGAAGAUCAGAGCAAAGAGAAAAAGAAGCAUCAGCAGACUUCCUCAACAGGAGCAUUUCGAGGCGAAGGAACAGAACACCAUGUCAACAGCAUCUCAGAGUGACCGUUUCUGGCGCUUGUUAGCACUGCCUUCAGAAACCGAGCGACUUUCAACUUUGGGUACAGACGGUAAAGAGCCGAAGUACUCACUACUCAAAGGGAUGGAGAAAUGUUAAGUCUUGUAUAAAUGCCAUACAAUUAAUUUCCAAUGGUGUAGAUAUUAAGUAAAAGUCUGUGAAUAUGUUAAUGAGGC